rnacentral:rRNA from 1 species
GCUAAUACCGCAUAAUACCUACGGGUCAAAGAGGGGGACCUUCGGGCCUCUCGCGUCAGGAUAUGCCUAGGUGGGAUUAGCUAGUUGGUGAGGUAAUGGCUCACCAAGGCGACGAUCCCUAGCUGGUCUGAGAGGAUGAUCAGCCACACUGGAACUGAGACACGGUCCAGACUCCUACGGGAGGCAGCAGUGGGGAAUAUUGCACAAUGGGCGCAAGCCUGAUGCAGCCAUGCCGCGUGUGUGAAGAAGGCCUUCGGGUUGUAAAGCACUUUCAGUCGUGAGGAAGGUAGUGCAGUUAAUAGCUGCAUUAUUUGACGUUAGCGACAGAAGAAGCACCGGCUAACUCCGUGCCAGCAGCCGCGGUAAUACGGAGGGUGCGAGCGUUAAUCGGAAUUACUGGGCGUAAAGCGCAUGCAGGUGGUUUGUUAAGUCAGAUGUGAAAGCCCGGGGCUCAACCUCGGAAUAGCAUUUGAAACUGGCAGACUAGAGUACUGUAGAGGGGGGUAGAAUUUCAGGUGUAGCGGUGAAAUGCGUAGAGAUCUGAAGGAAUACCGGUGGCGAAGGCGGCCCCCUGGA